UACGUAGGUGGCAAGCGUUGUCUGGAAUUAUUGGGCGUAAAGCGCGCGCAGGCGGUCCUUUAAGUCUGAUGUGAAAGCCCACGGCUCAACCGUGGAGGGUCAUUGGAAACUGGGGGACUUGAGUACAGAAGAGGAAAGCGGAAUUCCACGUGUAGCGGUGAAAUGCGUAGAGAUGUGGAGGAACACCAGUGGCGAAGGCGGCUUUCUGGUCUGUAACUGACGCUGAGGCGCGAAAGCGUGGGGAGCAAACAGG
rnacentral:rRNA from 1 species